rnacentral:rRNA from 1 species
UGGGGAAUAUUGGACAAUGGGCGAAAGCCUGAUCCAGCCAUGCCGCGUGUGUGAAGAAGGUCUUCGGAUUGUAAAGCACUUUAAGUUGGGAGGAAGGGCAUUAACCUAAUACGUUAGUGUUUUGACGUUACCGACAGAAUAAGCACCGGCUAACUCUGUGCCAGCAGCCGCGGUAAUACAGAGGGUGCAAGCGUUAAUCGGACUUACUGGGCGUAAAGCGCGCGUAGGUGGUUUGUUAAGUUGGAUGUGAAAGCCCCGGGCUCAACCUGGGAACUGCAUUCAAAACUGACAAGCUAGAGUGUGAUAGAGGGUGGUGGAAUUUCCUGUGUAGCGGU